CACGGGGCCUGUGGGCAGGGCAGGGUCACCACCCGGGUCCCGGGAUGGCUUGAGUCCUCUAAGGAAUAAGGUCACCUCCGGCUCAGGGACCCAGAAAGGAGGGCAUUGUCUGGCCAAGGUCACACAGCUUGGAGGGGACAGGCCAAAGAGACAGCAUCCUGCGAGGGCAAGGCCCAGAGCACCCCAUCCUGCGAACCCAAACCCCAAGCAGAGCGGGGGCUUCCACACCGCUUUAACCUUCACAGCUUCCAAGUCCCGCCCUGGCACAGACUGGGAUUCCUCCGCAGCCCCGCCUCCCAGGAUGGGAACUCCAGCAAGCCCCCCACCUACAGGGCGCUGAAGGACGAGGGGAGGACGACGGGUCCCACCUGACUCUGCACCUCGGCAGGCUCCCUCUGAAGGACACUGCUGGCCCCUCAGGACCUCAGGUGGAAGGCGUCGGGAAGCGGAGCAGGUCUCGGACCCCAAGCCAGUGCUUUGGAGCUGCUCAGGCUGCCGGGGUGGUCUGGGGAAGGGCAGCCACCCCCCGUCUCAGGGUCCCGCUUCUUGGAUCUGCUGCUGUUGCUGCUGUCACUGCCACUGCCAGCUCUGAACAGCCCCUGGGCAGAGAUAGGGUCUCACGGUGUUGCCCAAGCUGAUGUUGAACUGUUGGAAUCAAGAGAUCCUCCCGCCCCAGUCUCCCUAGUAGCUGGGAUUACAAGUGUGUGCUGCCACGCCUGCCACCCUCCACUGUUUGGGCCCCCAUUUGAGGACUCACCUUGGGAAGAGCUCCUGUGGCGGGCUAUGUGAGUCAAGGAUGCACAAUGACGUUCCCAGAACAUCCCAGGAGGGUGUGACAGCUUCGGUCUAGAAGGUUCUAUCCUCAGGUCCCCAAGGCAUCUGCAGCACACCGUCCUCUGCUGUG